rnacentral:tRNA from 1 species
GGGGGUAUAGCUCAGUGGUAGAGUGUGUGCUUGGCAUGCACGAGGUCCUGGGUUCAAUCCCUGAUGCCUCUG